CUCUCGGUAGCUCAGUUGGUAGAGCAGCUGACUCUUAAUCAGCGGGCCGCGGGUUCGAGCCCCUCCCGGGAGA
rnacentral:tRNA from 1 species